ACGGAAGGCAGCAGUGGGGAAUAUUGCACAAUGGGCGCAAGCCUGAUGCAGCGAUGCCGCGUGAGGUAAGAAGGUUUUCGUAUUGUAAACCUCUGUCAACAGGGACGAAAAUUACGGUACCUGUGAAGGAAGCUCCGGCUAACUACGUGCCAGCGGCCGCGGUAAUACGUAGGGAGCAAGCGUUAUCCGGAAUUACUGGGUGUAAAGGGAGUGUAGGCGGGACUGUAAGUCAGAUGUGAAAUAUGCCGGCUCAACUGGCAGACUGCAUUUGAAACUGCGGUUCUUGAGUGAAGUAGAGGUAAGAGGAAUUCCUAGUGUAGCGGUGAAAUGCGUAGAUAUUAGGAGGAACAUCAGUGGCGAAGGCGGCUUACUGGGCUUUAACUGACGCUGAGGCUCGAAAGCGUGGGGAGCAAACAGGAUUAGAUACCCUGGUA
rnacentral:rRNA from 1 species